rnacentral:rRNA from 1 species
AUGUCUCCCUUGCUUCUCCUUCUCCUGGCUCUAGCCAUCCCCCUAGCGCUAGCCACGCCGGGGUCGGCGUCGGGGAUCCAGGAGGACGACGUACGGUGCCUACGCGGCGUCAAGAGCGGUCUCAAGGACCCCGACGGCCGCCUCUCGUCGUGGACCUUCGGCAACACCUCGUCGGGCGCCGUCUGCGACUUCCCCGGAAUCACCUGCUGGAACCCGCAGGAGUCGCGCGUCCUCGGGCUCUCGCUCGCCGGCUUCGGCGUCCAGGGCACCGUCCCCUCCGCGCUCAAAUACUGCCGGUCCACCAACAUUCUCGACCUCUCGAAGAACGCGCUCGAGGGGCCGAUCCCGCCCGCGCUCUGCGACUGGCUCCCCUACCUCGUCGUCCUCGACCUCUCCGGCAACCGCUUCUCCGGGCCGCUCCCCUCCGAGCUCGCCAACUGCCGCUACCUCAACUCCCUCAAGCUCAGCCACAACAACUUCUCCGGCCAGAUCCCCGCGUCUCUCUCGCGGCUGGAACGGCUCAAGACGCUCGACCUCUCUGAGAACCGGCUCGACGGCCAGAUCCCGCCCCAGCUCGGCGCGACAUUCCCCAAGGAGUCCUUCUCCGGGAACCCGGGCCUGUGUGGACGCCCUGUGUCCUCGUACUGCGGCCGCGAUUAG